rnacentral:rRNA from 1 species
GGGCUGGGGCUGGCAGCUAACACAUGCAAGUCGAGCGGUAGCACAAGAGAGCUUGCUCUCUGGGUGACGAGCGGCGGACGGGUGAGUAAUGUCUGGGAAACUGCCUGAUGGAGGGGGAUAACUACUGGAAACGGUAGCUAAUACCGCAUGAUGUCUUCGGACCAAAGUGGGGGACCUUCGGGCCUCACGCCAUCAGAUGUGCCCAGAUGGGAUUAGCUAGUAGGUGGGGUAAUGGCUCACCUAGGCGACGAUCUCUAGCUGGUCUGAGAGGAUGACCAGCCACACUGGAACUGAGACACGGUCCAGACUCCUACGGGAGGCAGCAGUGGGGAAUAUUGCACAAUGGGCGCAAGCCUGAUGCAGCCAUGCCGCGUGUAUGAAGAAGGCCUUCGGGUUGUAAAGUACUUUCAGCGAGGAGGAAGGCAUUAAGGUUAAUAACCUUGGUGAUUGACGUUACUCGCAGAAGAAGCACCGGCUAACUCCGUGCCAGCAGCCGCGGUAAUACGGAGGGUGCAAGCGUUAAUCGGAAUUACUGGGCGUAAAGCGCACGCAGGCGGUUGAUUAAGUCAGAUGUGAAAUCCCCGAGCUUAACUUGGGAACUGCAUUUGAAACUGGUCAGCUAGAGUCUUGUAGAGGGGGGUAGAAUUCCAGGUGUAGCGGUGAAAUGCGUAGAGAUCUGGAGGAAUACCGGUGGCGAAGGCGGCCCCCUGGACAAAGACUGACGCUCAGGUGCGAAAGCGUGGGGAGCAACAGGAUUAGAUACCUGGUAGUCCACGCUGUAAACGAUGUCGACUUGGAGGUUGUGUCCUUGAGGCGUGGCUUCCGGAGCUAACGCGUUAAGUCGACCGCCUGGUGUAGUAUCGUCCGCCAGGUUAAA